UCGGCUUAGAGUUUGAUCAUGGCUCAGGACGAACGCUGGCGGCGUGCCUAAUACAUGCAAGUCGAACGAAUUGGUGCUUGCAUCAUUGAGUGGCGAACUGGUGAGUAACACGUGGGAAACCUGCCCAGAAGCGGGGGAUAACACCUGGAAACAGAUGCUAAUACCGCAUAACAACUUGACCGCAUGGUCCAAGUUGAAAGAUGUUCGUAUCACUUUUGGAUGGUCCCGCGGCGUAUUAGCUAGAUGGUGGGGUAACGGCUCACCAUGGCAAUGAUACGUAGCCGACCUGAGAGGGUAAUCGGCCACAUUGGGACUGAGACACGGCCCAAACUCCUACGGGAGGCAGCAGUAGGGAAUCUUCCACAAUGGACGAAAGUCUGAUGGAGCAACGCCGCGUGAGUGAAGAAGGGUUUCGGCUCGUAAAACUCUGUUGUUAAAGAAGAACAUAUCUGAGGUAAUUCAGGUAUUGACGGUAUUUAACCAGAAAGCCACGGCUAACUACGUGCCAGCAGCCGCGGUAAUACGUAUGUGGCAAGCGUUGUCCGGAUUUAUUGGGCGUAAAGCGAGCGCAGCGGUUUUUUAAGUCUGAUGUGAAAGCCUUCGGCUCAACCGAAGAAGUGCAUCGGAAACUGGGAAACUUGAGUGCAGAGGAG
rnacentral:rRNA from 1 species